rnacentral:rRNA from 1 species
UUUGGUUAAGUUAGAAAGGGCGCACGGUGGAUGCCUUGACACUAGGAGUCGAUGAAGGACGGGACUAACGCCGAUAUGCUUCGGGGAGCUGUAAGUAAGCUUUGAUCCGAAGAUUUCCGAAUGGGGAAACCCACCAUACGUAAUGGUAUGGUAUCCUUACCUGAAUACAUAGGGUAAGGAAGACAGACCCAGGGAACUGAAACAUCUAAGUACCUGGAGGAAGAGAAAGCAAAUGCGAUUUCCUGAGUAGCGGCGAGCGAAACGGAACAUAGCCCAAACCAAGAGGCUUGCCUCUUGGGGUUGUAGGACAUUCUAUACGGAGUUACAAAGGAACGAGGUAGACGAAGCGACCUGGAAAGGUCCGUCGUAGAGGGUAACAACCCCGUAGUCGAAACUUCGUUCUCUCUUGAAUGUAUCCUGAGUACGGCGGAACACGUGAAAUUCCGUCGGAAUCUGGGAGGACCAUCUCCCAAGGCUAAAUACUCCCUAGUGAUCGAUAGUGAACCAGUACCGUGAGGGAAAGGUGAAAAGCACCCCGGAAGGGGAGUGAAAGAGAUCCUGAAACCGUGUGCCUACAAAUAGUCAGAGCCCGUUAACGGGUGAUGGCGUGCCUUUUGUAGAAUGAACCGGCGAGUUACGAUCCCGUGCGAGGUUAAGCUGAAGAGGCGGAGCCGCAGCGAAAGCGAGUCUGAAUAGGGCGUUUAGUACGUGGUCGUAGACCCGAAACCAGGUGAUCUACCCAUGUCCAGGGUGAAGUUCAGGUAACACUGAAUGGAGGCCCGAACCCACGCACGUUGAAAAGUGCGGGGAUGAGGUGUGGGUAGCGGAGAAAUUCCAAUCGAACCUGGAGAUAGCUGGUUCUCCCCGAAAUAGCUUUAGGGCUAGCCUUAAGUGUAAGAGUCUUGGAGGUAGAGCACUGAUUGGACUAGGGGUCCUCAUCGGAUUACCGAAUUCAGUCAAACUCCGAAUGCCAAUGACUUAUCCUUAGGAGUCAGACUGCGAGUGAUAAGAUCCGUAGUCAAAAGGGAAACAGCCCAGACCGCCAGCUAAGGUCCCAAAGUGUGUAUUAAGUGGAAAAGGAUGUGGAGUUGCUUAGACAACUAGGAUGUUGGCUUAGAAGCAGCCACCAUUUAAAGAGUGCGUAAUAGCUCACUAGUCGAGUGACUCUGCGCCGAAAAUGUACCGGGGCUAAAUACACCACCGAAGCUGCGGAUUGAUACCAAUGGUAUCAGUGGUAGGGGAGCGUUCUAAGGACAGUGAAGUCAGACCGGAAGGACUGGUGGAGUGCUUAGAAGUGAGAAUGCCGGUAUGAGUAGCGAAAGACGGGUGAGAAUCCCGUCCACCGAAUGCCUAAGGUUUCCUGAGGAAGGCUCGUCCGCUCAGGGUUAGUCAGGACCUAAGCCGAGGCCGACAGGCGUAGGCGAUGGACAACAGGUUGAUAUUCCUGUACCACCUCUUUAUCGUUUGAGCAAUGGAGGGACGCAGAAGGAUAGAAGAAGCGUGCGAUUGGUUGUGCACGUCCAAGCAGUUAGGCUGAUAAGUAGGCAAAUCCGCUUAUCGUGAAGGCUGAGCUGUGAUGGGGAAGCUCCUUAUGGAGCGAAGUCUUUGAUUCCCCGCUGCCAAGAAAAGCUUCUAGCGAGAUAAAAGGUGCCUGUACCGCAAACCGACACAGGUAGGCGAGGAGAGAAUCCUAAGGUGUGCGAGAGAACUCUGGUUAAGGAACUCGGCAAAAUGACCCCGUAACUUCGGGAGAAGGGGUGCUUUCUUAACGGAAAGCCGCAGUGAAUAGGCCCAAGCGACUGUUUAGCAAAAACACAGCUCUCUGCGAAGCCGUAAGGCGAAGUAUAGGGGGUGACACCUGCCCGGUGCUGGAAGGUUAAGGAGAGGGGUUAGCGUAAGCGAAGCUCUGAACUGAAGCCCCAGUAAACGGCGGCCGUAACUAUAACGGUCCUAAGGUAGCGAAAUUCCUUGUCGGGUAAGUUCCGACCCGCACGAAAGGUGUAACGAUUUGGGCACUGUCUCAACCAGAGACUCGGUGAAAUUAUAGUACCUGUGAAGAUGCAGGUUACCCGCGACAGGACGGAAAGACCCCGUGGAGCUUUACUGUAGCCUGAUAUUGAAUUUUGGUACAGUUUGUACAGGAUAGGCGGGAGUCUUUGAAACCGGAGCGCUAGCUUCGGUGGAGGCGCUGGUGGGAUACCGCCCUGACUGUAUUGAAAUUCUAACCUACGGGUCUUAUCGACCCGGGAGACAGUGUCAGGUGGGCAGUUUGACUGGGGCGGUCGCCUCCUAAAGUGUAACGGAGGCGCCCAAAGGUUCCCUCAGAAUGGUUGGAAAUCAUUCGUAGAGUGCAAAGGCAUAAGGGAGCUUGACUGCGAGACCUACAAGUCGAGCAGGGACGAAAGUCGGGCUUAGUGAUCCGGUGGUUCCGCAUGGAAGGGCCAUCGCUCAACGGAUAAAAGCUACCCCGGGGAUAACAGGCUUAUCUCCCCCAAGAGUCCACAUCGACGGGGAGGUUUGGCACCUCGAUGUCGGCUCAUCGCAUCCUGGGGCUGUAGUCGGUCCCAAGGGUUGGGCUGUUCGCCCAUUAAAGCGGUACGCGAGCUGGGUUCAGAACGUCGUGAGACAGUUCGGUCCCUAUCCGUCGUGGGCGUAGGAAAUUUGAGAGGAGCUGUCCUUAGUACGAGAGGACCGGGAUGGACGCACCGCUGGUGUACCAGUUGUUCUGCCAAGGGCAUAGCUGGGUAGCUAUGUGCGGAAGGGAUAAGUGCUGAAAGCAUCUAAGCAUGAAGCCCCCCUCAAGAUGAGAUUUCCCAUAGCGUAAGCUAGUAAGAUCCCUGAAAGAUGAUCAGGUUGAUAGGUUCGAGGUGGAAGCAUGGUGACAUGUGGAGCUGACGAAUACUAAUAGAUCGAGGACUUAACCAUAUAA